rnacentral:rRNA from 1 species
UACGAAGGGGAGCUAGCGUUGCUCGGAAUCACUGGGCGUAAAGCGCACGUAGGCGGAUUGCUAAGUCAGGGGUGAAAUCCUGGAGCUCAACUCCAGAACUGCCUUUGAUACUGGCGAUCUUGAGUCCGGGAGAGGUGAGUGGAACUGCGAGUGUAGAGGUGAAAUUCGUAGAUAUUCGCAAGAACACCAGUGGCGAAGGCGGCUCACUGGCCCGGUACUGACGCUGAGGUGCGAAAGCGUGGGGAGCAAACAGG